rnacentral:sRNA from 1 species
CCUGCUCGAGGAACCCUACUCGUUUGAAUUAGAUGGCUUUUAUAAUGUUUCUCCAUCACCUCCUUUAAACUUAUAAACUGGGCAUCUCAGCUUCUAGAAACAGAUACAUACCCAACGAUAAUCGAUAUAUAAACGGUUCCCUAAAAAACGAGAGCGACAGCAACACUGAAAAUAAUAAUAAUAAAAAUGAUAAGGAAACAAAACGUCUUGUCUCCAUACCACCCAUUUUAAAGGGGGUGGAACGAAUACGAACCAGAAAAAAAUAGAAUAAAUCAACUUACGCAUUUCAUUGCAAUGUAAUACACGACACGAUCACCAUCGCAUAUACAACGCAUACGCCAACCCACAAAAGUCUUACAGCAUUUUGCCACACAGCACGCCACGCAUCCACGCACAGUGCGCACAUUACAUAAAAAAUGCAUGAAGCCAUUGAAUAUUGAAGUAUCCAGCCUACCCCAUCCGCUAAUAAUCCUCACAAUCUCAACAGAACCCUCGUUUCCCCCUCUUUCCUGCCCGCACCCACCCUUCAAACCUCAAAAACAACCGAAGGCAAAGAAGAAAGGCGAAAAAAAAUGAGAGGACUCAUGGACGCACAAAUAGUGGAAGGGGCAACUCACGACUAUCAAUAUAUUAUUCUACUUACAUAUCUAACCUAAUAGAAUGAGAAUACAAUUCUGUUGCAGCCUCGUUGGCAGUUAGUCCGCCUGGUCAUUCGGCCAGACAAGACAUCUAGGUGGCUCGCCCUCCAGCUCCUCUUCGCCUUACCUCUCAUAAAAAACACUCACACACAUACAUUCUCUAUGGUAACCCAUACAAAGUACACGUUGCACACAUCUCCUUUCAUAUGUUAUGGCAUGCAACGUAGCACAAUAUACCUGCACGUAACGUAGUUUCAAUAAAAGCAUCAAUACGUGCGAUCAUCGUAUUCCUAGUUAUAUAAAAGUAGCACUCAAUCAAUAUAUAAUUUAAUUAGAGUGAGAG